rnacentral:lncRNA from 1 species
GCUUUGGCAUUUAGCAGGUACCCCGAUCUGAAAAUUCAAGAGCUGAUCUAUUGUUCAAAUUGAUGACAUCAGCCCCAAAAGAUCUACCUCAAAGAUAUUCUUUGAGAUCCUAAAGAAGCCAAGUACUGAAGAACCGAUCCUAGUCCUACAGGGCGAACCUUGUUGGACGGAUUCUAUUGGGGGGUAAUACUUUGGUUAUGAUGAAGACAUGGAAGAGAAGGG